CUCUCCGUCUCUGAUUGUCACUGUUCCUCUCUUUUGUCCUCUCGGCAUGGCUAACAACUCCCGUACCGAGUUCCACCCGAUGCAAAUAAGGAAAAUUCACACGAUAAGCGCGCACAACUACAGUGACAAAGCACUGGUGUCGCGACGAUGAUUGCCUCGAUGUCUGUGCCAGGAGCCAGGAUGAGCCUGCCUGCCAGAUGGGCUUUCCUCCCGAGAGUUUUUCGCGAGCCUCUUUUUCACAGAACCGCGAGAGGAGCCUGACCGAGCAGCACUCGAUGGAAAGGGUUUUUUCUCCGGGCGACCGACGACGACGACGGACGGGAAAAAUUUGGAUUUUCCUUCGACGGGACUGCUGGACUGGCACUGGAUGGCGAAUAUUAGACUAGAGGUUUACCUGGGUCCUUUGUGAAAAUCUAAAGAUUCGGUAGACCAUAUUCCCCGAUUCCCGAUUGGCAAGUUUUCGUGAUGCACCGUCCUGUGGAUUAUUAGGUUAAAAGUGAACAUUACUCAGUUGGUAAGAUCAAACCCAUGUAUAUGCACCAUGUUUAUUACUUAUCUGUAGAGUAUUCUCAUACCUCCCCCAUCCUUCAACAUCCCUACUCUCCCAAAGACCUCAGUUCCGCGCUCACCUUCCCAAACUCCAAAAUGAAGCACUCAUCCGCAAGAAAACCGUCGUUUAGAGCUCACUCAAAAAAAAAGCUCAACCAAUUUCUCACACCCACCAUGUGACCAACCUUCGCUGCCGUGAGCCGUCCUUCCUAGAGCGUGUGUCUAGCGCUUCGCGUAGUGGUUGUAGUUACCCAUUUGCAGGAACCCGUAGAUCCGAACUUGUGCUGCCGUUUCACAUGUUACAAGAACGGAUGUAUGGGAUUCUGCCGAUGUAUGGCUAAAGCAUCGAUCGAUUUGUGGGACAGUCCCAAUACAGCAUUUUCCAUCGGCAAUCCUGUAAGCUGCACUGGACAGAGCUCGGUGUCGAAUCCUGGAACAGUUCAGUAGAUAUCCCGCUUCUCAGUUUGUUGAUUUCGAAAGUGUUUGCAACCAUAUGAGAGAACGUGUUCUUUUUGCUGUCGGUUCACAUAUGCCGUUCACAUGUGUGCGCGCGAGAGUGACUGUUCGUGAUUGGUGAUGGUAGCGGUCCCAGCCUCCAAGAACUCCAAGUGAAAUGAGCACAAUUGUGGGAAACAAAGAUAUAACUCUGCUCGAAGUGCAUCCAGAAGUGUAUUGGCAGGGAACCAAUUGUUCAAACAGAGUGAACUGAAGCAGUAAACAAUUGAAUCAAUUUUUCUUGUCGUAGAAAGCUUCUCCUCCAAUCAAUUCCCGUGCCCAUUACCGCAUUUCCUUCUCCUUUCCUAACCCAUAUGCACAUAUUGAUAUUAUUUUCAAUUAGAGUAAGCAAAAAUCUCGAAUCCAAAAAUAAAAUGAGUUGAAAUAAAAACAAUCGAAAAUAA